AAAAGAGAAGAAGAAUAGAAAAGAAACAGAGAAAGAGACGAAAACAGAGGAAGAAAAAGGAAAGAAAAGAAAGGGGAAAAUUGAGAAUUUGAAGCUUAAAGUUUAAUAGCUAAUAAAGAAUUCGAGGUAUUGGCACAAAAAGGGAAGGAGAAGGUCGUUGAGGAAUAAUCGAGCAAAUCCGGGUUGAAAAAGGGGUCUGAGUCUCGGUUCAGCAUCCAGGUCAAUCCCGACUCUUGCAUAGAGAUUUCGGUUUGUGGCAUUUGGCAGUAGCAUCUCACGUGGAUUAAGGGUCUCAUCGUGCUAUUGCGUAACCAACUGUUUCGAGGUGCUGGGGUUCUGCAGUGCUCGAGGAUCGUUGUAGCAUCAAUCCAUACCAGGGAAUCCCCAGACAUAGGCGGAUCGGUGCGACGGAGGACUCAACGGUGGGCACACGACCUAUUUAAUUCGACUUAGUACUUAAUUAUAAUUUUUAUUUUAUUUUGGGGGUAUUUUUCUAUAAUAAUGGCCUCUUUGGAUUUUUAUUUUUAAUUUGGGGUUUCUAUUGUUUUGAUUUACAAAUGCUAGUAGUAGGGAUAAUCGAGUUUUCAAAACGAAUCAAAUGUAUU